GGGAGAAGUGCGGUGCGGUUCAAA
rnacentral:siRNA from 1 species